rnacentral:rRNA from 1 species
GCAACGUCGGGUCCAGGCGGCGGGGUAAUACGGAAGGGUCAGUGGUGAAGCGGGAGUACUGGGCGUAAAGCGCAUGAAUGCGGCUUUGUAAGUCGGAGGUGAAAGCCCAGGGGUCAACCUGGGAAUUGCAUUAGAGACUGGGAAGCUAGAGUAUGUGAGAGGGGGGUAGAAGUCCAAGUGUAGCGGUGAAAUGCGUAGAGAUUUGGAGGAAUACCAGUGGCGAAGGCGGCCCCCUGGCACACUACUGACGCUCAGGUGCGAAAGCGUGGGGAGCAAACAGGAUUAGAUACCCGAGUAGUC